UGCAUAUUUAUGAAAUAUCUUUGUGGCAAACACAAAUGCUAGUAGACUGUACUCAAUUUGAGAAUCAUUUUCUUUUCUCUCUGCCAUAGCAAAAGAGACCUAUGAAUCAAAGCUUCCAGUUAGAGACAGGCUCCUGAAUCAUAUUUGAGCUUGUUUACUGAGUGGUGACUGCCUUACUAGGACCAUGAAAUCUGCAAUGGACAGUAUCCUAAGUACAAAAGAGAGCAUUUCUUCACUAGCCAUCUGGAAGGACUGUGUCUGUGUUCCCUCCUCCCCUCCACCUUGUGUCCUCUACACUCUAUCAUUGAAUUAAAUGUCAAAUAUCCUUUUUUUUUUUUUGGGGGGGGGGGGGGUGGGGGGUGGGAGUGGGGUGGGGGUGGGAGGGCGGGAAAGGGGUGGUGUAAAAUUCUGAUCCAUUCAUUUCUUUCCACUCUUGAGGUGGUGAUUGGGAUUUAAAUUUGUGAAAGAAGCAAUCACAGGUUCCACUGUCAUUGCUCCAUGGAAGCUCUGAACCUCCAUCUCAUAUCAAGAAAUUAAUUUUAUCAUAGUAGUGAUUUCUGAAUAUGUAGACUAAUAUAACUUCUCUGAAAGCAUAAAGCAUGAUAUGUUCAUUCUAAAAAAGCACAUUUAUAACAAGCCAUU
rnacentral:lncRNA from 1 species